AUGUCUACUACGAAGAUCAUCAAAACAAAACGAUUGAACACAAAUUAAAAGAAUAAAAAUAGAUUUCAACUUGAAACGGCGGUGGGGUCUCGAUACAUCAACAACCUGUAAGUGAAGUGAGUAGGUUGUCGGUUAUAUCAAAACCCACAACAACCUCAAUGCUGUGUUCCAUUAGCAGAACUUUGAGGUGGGUUUCGUAAGAAAUCGAAAAUUCGUGUCACAUGAAUACAAGCUUUUUUCGUUUUUAUUUGACGUUUCUUUUCAAACCCCCUUGAAUAAGGUAUAUUUUAAGUUUAUAUUACCAAGAAAAAAUUGGAUUAAGUUGAUAAAUACAAGUUUUAUGGCGGUUUUUCCAAAAUGUCACAUAAAUAGUAACAAGAUCUAAGUUAAACUAUUGCGUUUUAUAAAUCAAAUACAAAUAUAUUCUGAUUGUUUGGGAGCUUAGUACGAGUAUUAAUUUGAUGGAAUCAAAAAGCAUGGGUAGCGGUAGGGGUUUAACUAAGAAGGAAAUAACCCUAAUUUGAGCUCACCAAGUUCAUGUGAAAACCAUCUGUUUUAAAGCCAGCAAUAUUAUGAGAAGUUCAAAUAUUGUAUGCAACUACCUCAAGGAAAAGGUAUGGGAAAAAAACCCAAAGUAAGAGUCAACAAAGCCACAUCAUAUAAGGAUACUGAAAACUGUUUCAACUUCAAGGCUUUCUAUUACUAAAAUCAAGACAUAAGCUGCAAUAAAUGCUAGUAGAUCUACUGUUGCUCGGAUGAUACAGAAGCCCGACCAUAUACGAAACCAACAAAUGAACAUAAAAACACUUUUAAAUGCUAUGAAAACAAAUUUAACUUGGACGGAAGAAAUCUAUCUUGAAAAAUGGCACAGAAAAGGAGGCGGUGUAAUGAUAUAUGGAGCAAUUACCUAUUACGGGACUAUUGAGCUGGAUUUUCAAAGCUCUAAAAUGACGGCAAUUACUUACAAUUUGGUUCUGGAACGAGCUUUUUCGUAGUUUUUGAAUAUUUUGAUGGAGAACGAUGGGCUUACCAGCAAGAUAAUACACCAAUACAUACCGCACAGACAACAAAAACCUGGAUUAAUAUUAAAAACGUGAACUUAUUACCAGGCCUCUACUUUAAAGGCUCUAACAGGAAAACAGCUAUAACACUUGUAAGCUUUCUUUUCUCUCCUUAUUUCAUCUUUAUGGUCAGGUUGUUGUGUUUUGUCGGACGUCUUUGUUACUACUGUCAGUUGCAUACAUAUUUAUACAUACAUUUAACUCUCAGAUCAGACCCGCAAUAAAAGCGGUUAAAU